GCCUUCGGGCAUUUGGUCAAUUUGAAACGAUACAGAGAAGAGUCAGUAUUACCAUUCCCGAUUUAAGAUUGUGCGCUGAUAACCGUUAUAGUUAGCAUGGCCCCUGCACUAAGGAUGACACGCAAUAUCAAAGAGAAGCAACAGUUUUUU
rnacentral:snRNA from 1 species